AUUGAACGCUGGCGGCAGGCUUAACACAUGCAAGUCGAACGAGUGGCGGACGGGUGAGUAAUGCUUGGGAAACUAGCUUAUGGAGGGGGAUAACUACUGGAAACUGUAGCUAAUACCGCGUACCAUCGGAUGUGCCCAGAUGGGAUUAGGUAGUUGGUGAGGUAAAGGCUCACCAAGCCGACGAUCCCUAGCUGGUCUGAGAGGAUGACCAGCCACACUGGGACUGAGACACGGCCCAGACUCCUACGGGAGGCAGCAGUGGGGAAUAAUGCGCAAUGGGGGCAACCCUGAUGCAGCCAUGCCGCGUGAAUGAAGAAGGCCUUCGGGUUGUAAAGUUCUUUCGGUAGGGAGGCGUUAACUACAGAAGAAGCACCGGCUAACUCCGUGCCAGCAGCCGCGGUAAUUC
rnacentral:rRNA from 1 species